rnacentral:rRNA from 1 species
GACGAACGCUGGCGGCGUGCUUAACACAUGCAAGUCGAACGGUGAAGCGCCUUCCUUUUUGGUGGGUGUGGAUGAGUGGCGAACGGGUGAGUAACACGUGAGUAACCUGCCCCCUUCUUCUGGAUAACCGCAUGAAAGUGUGGCUAAUACGGGAUAUUCUGGGUCUGUCGCAUGAUGGGUCUGGGAAAGAUAUUGUUUCGGUGGGGGAUGGGCUCGCGGCCUAUCAGCUUGUUGGUGGGGUGAUGGCCUACCAAGGCGGUGACGGGUAGCCGGCCUGGGAGGGUGGACGGUCACACUGGGACUGAGACACGGCCCGGACUCCUACAGGAGGCAGCAGUGGGGAGUAUUGCACAGUGGGCGCAAGCCUGAUGCAGCGACGCCGCGUGAGGGAUGGAGGCCUUCGGGUUGUGAACCUCUUUCGCCAGUGAAGCAGGCCUGCCUCGUUUGUGGGUGGGUUGACGGUAGCUGGAUAAGAAGCGCCGGCUAACUACGUG